AUUGAACGCUGGCGGCAUGCCUUACACAUGCAAGUCGAACGGUAACAGGUCUUCGGAUGCUGACGAGUGGCGAACGGGUGAGUAAUACAUCGGAACGUGCCCGAUCGUGGGGGAUAACGAGGCGAAAGCUUUGCUAAUACCGCAUACGAUCUACGGAUGAAAGCGGGGGAUCUUCGGACCUCGCGCGGACGGAGCGGCCGAUGGCAGCUUAGGUAGUUGGUGGGAUAAAAGCUUACCAAGCCGACGAUCUGUAGCUGGUCUGAGAGGAUGAUCAGCCACACUGGGACUGAGACACGGCCCAGACUCCUACGGGAGGCAGCAGUGGGGAAUUUUGGACAAUGGGCGAAAGCCUGAUCCAGCCAUGCCGCGUGCAGGAUGAAGGCCUUCGGGUUGUAAACUGCUUUUGUACGGAACGAAAAGCCUCUUUCUAAUAAAGAGGGGUCAUGACGGUACCGUAAGAAUAAGCACCGGCUAACUACGUG
rnacentral:rRNA from 1 species